UACGAGGGGGGCAAGUGUUGUUCGGAAUCACUGGGCGUAAAGGGAGCGUAGGCGGGCUCUCAAGUUGGAUGUUUAAAACCGGGGCCCAACCCCGGCGUGGCAUCCAAAACUGGGAGUCUUGAAUGGAACAGAGGCUAGUGGAAUUGGAGGUGUAGCGGUGGAAUGCGCAGAUAUCAGGAGGAACACCGGUGGCGAAGGCGGGUCUCUGGGCCGAUAUUGACGCUGAGGAGCGAAAGCGUGGGGAGCGAACAGG
rnacentral:rRNA from 1 species